rnacentral:lncRNA from 1 species
UACAAUUAUCUCUAUUUAUAAUUAUGGAUUUGGCCCAUUAGUUACAGAGGAAAAUAUUUUGUUAAAAUUUACAAAAAUUUACAAAAUUUAUGAAAAUUAUUAACUAGAGGCUCUAAAGAGCCUGUGUUUAGAGCCUGUGUCGCUCACCUUGGUCAGAAUAUAUAUGCAUAUCAAACAAAGAAAACAGAUCGUCAGAUGGAUUCAUGACAAAAUUGUGUUUUUGUGAUGGUGAUGUGUUUUGAGAUCUAGCUUUACUAAACAUUCUUGUUAUUACAAUUUUGUCUAUCUAUAAUGAACUUGGCCCUUUAGUUCCAGAGGAAAAUAUUUUGUAAAAACUAAUGAAAAUUGUUAAAAAUUGACUAUAAAGGGCAAUAACUCCUUAAGAGGUCAACUGACCAUUUUGGUCAUGUUGACUUAUUUGAAGAUCUUACUUUGUUGAACAUUAUUGUUGUUUACAGUUUAUCUCUAUCUAUAAUAGUAUUCAAGAUAAUAACCAAAAAC